GCUCCCUGGCAGUGAGCAAAGAGACACCUUGUUGAUUGUGGUGUUCUUGUAUCAAUCAGAGGUAGAGCAGAUGGCAGUCCUUUGUUCAUUCUAGCUGGAUGCCUGCCUUGGUGGUCAAAGCUAUCUUAUGCCUAGGGCAUAUAA